rnacentral:rRNA from 1 species
CUACGGGGUGCAGCAGUGGGGAAUAUUGCACAAUGGAGGAAACUCUGAUGCAGCAACGCCGCGUGGAGGAUGACACUUUUCGGAGCGUAAACUCCUUUUAUAUAGGAAGAAGAUGACGGUACUAUAUGAAUAAGCGCCGGCUAACUCCGUGCCAGCAGCCGCGGUAAUACGGAGGGCGCAAGCGUUACUCGGAAUCACUGGGCGUAAAGAGGCGUGUAGGCGGAUUAAAAAGUCAGAAGUGAAAUCCUAUAGCUUAACUAUAGAACUGCUUCUGAAACUCUUAAUCUAGAAUAUGGGAGAGGUAGAUGGAAUUUCUGGUGUAGGGGUAAAAUCCGUAGAGAUCAGAAGGAAUACCGAUUGCGAAGGCGAUCUACUAGAACAUUAUUGACGCUGAGACGCGAAAGCGUGGGGAGCAAACAGGAUUAGAUACCCGGGUAGUC